GCGAGAGUGGCGGAAUAGGCAGACGCGGCAGACUCAAAAUCUGUUGUCCUUCAAAGACGUGGGGGUUCGAGUCCCCCCUCUCGCACCA
rnacentral:tRNA from 1 species